GAGGUUGGUGUUGCAGCUUUCGAAUGUUGGUUGUGGAGGUGUUCACGGUUGUGCGAUGCGAGACUUGCAUUUCUAUUUCUAGCUCUCGUUGCAAGUUCUCGAAUAAAGCUGAAGGAAGAUAGUGUUCACGAUGAAGGUCUGUCGCGACGAUUUCGGAGGUUGUUGGGUGGUCUCUACGGCGGAUGCGGCGACAUUGACGGUGAAGAUGAGUAGCGAUGGUGCCGGUGAGAUAGUGUGGCGCGAAUUAGGGUUAGGUGGUGGCUUUGGGUGGUCUGG
rnacentral:lncRNA from 1 species